rnacentral:rRNA from 1 species
CAACAACACUAAUCCGUUGUUACCACUACGUGAAUUCAUAGCGUGGCUGGAGGUAGACGCGGGGAACUGAAACAUCUCAGUACCCGCAGGAAGAGAAAGAAAUAUCGAUUCCCUAAGUAGCGGCGAGCGAACGGGGAACAGCCCAAACCAGGAAGCUUGCUUCCUGGGGUUGUAGGACUGAACAUUUGAGUUACCAAAGAUUUUCAUAGCCGAACAGUCUGGGAAGACUGGCCAGAGCGGGUGAUAGCCCCGUAGGCAAAAUGAAGAUCCCUCAGUUCAGGAUCCUGAGUACGGCGGAACACGUGUAACUCCGUCGGAAUCCGGGAGGACCAUCUCCCAAGGCUAAAUACUCC